AUUCCGUGAUGAGGGCACUUCCGUAAUAAUUCUUUGUACCUUUCCCAUGCCUCAUACAAUGACUCAUCAUCCAUUUUUUGGAAAGCAAUGAUCUCGUUCCUUAACUU
rfam:Gossypium raimondii Chr01_contig_713, whole genome shotgun sequence.